AGCUUAAUAGUUUAAUAAAACAUAAAUUUUGUAAAUUUAAAUUAAAUAAAAUUAUUUUUAAGCUU
rnacentral:tRNA from 1 species